AAUGAGGCAUUUCUGUACUUUAGCUUUCAGCCAAUGACCAUCUCCUUCCCUGUCUAACACCCCUGAGGGAAGAGACACUCUGUGGACCCCACCGGAUCUGGACUCCACCUUCUCUGAGCUGGUGGACCCCAAGAGGAGAGGCAGAACCCACACUACAAUAAUGACAACUAAUCGGGAGGAGCUGGGUUCAAGCAGCGUGAGCUUUAAGAAAAAAAAAGCAGUCCCUGGGGCUCCUCUGUGAUGGGAAAGAACAAUGAAGGUGAGGAGGCUGGAAUGAGAG
rnacentral:lncRNA from 1 species